UUUGGACAUGGGGGAAACCCUGNCCAGCAAUGCCGCGUGAGUGAUGAAGGCCUUAGGGUUGUAAAGCUCUUUCGACGGGGACGAUGAUGACGGUACCCGUAGAAGAAGCCCCGGCUAACUUCGUGCCAGCAGCCGCGGUAAUACGAAGGGGGCUAGCGUUGUUCGGAAUUACNUGGGCGUAAAGGGCGCNGUAGGCNGGUCUUGUAAGUCAGAUGUGAAAGCCCCGGGCUCAACCCGGGAAUAGCAUUUGAUACUGCGAGGCUUGAGUCCGGGAGAGGAUGGCGGAAUUCCCAGUGUAGAGGUGAAAUUCGUAGAUAUUGGGAAGAACACCGGUGGCGAAGGCGGCCAUCUGGACCGGUACUGACGCUGAGGCGCGAAAGCGUGGGGAGCAAACAGGAUUAGAUACCCUGGUAGUCCACGCCGUAAACGAUGAGUGCUAGACGCUGGGGGGUUAACCCUUCGGUGUCGCAGCUAACGCAUUAAGCACUCCGCCUGGGGAGUACGGCCGCAAGGUUGAAACUCAAAAGAAUUGACGGA
rnacentral:rRNA from 1 species